AUACGGAGGGUGCAAGCGUUAAUCGGAAUUACUGGGCGUAAAGCGUGCGCAGGCGGUUUGUUAAGUCAGAUGUGAAAGCCCCGGGCUCAACCUGGGAACUGCAUUUGAAACUGGCAAACUAGAGUGUGGUAGAGGGAAGUGGAAUUCCUCAUGUAGCGGUGAAAUGCGUAGAUAUGAGGAGGAACACCAGUGGCGAAGGCGACUUCCUGGACCAACACUGACGCUCAUGUACGAAAGCGUGGGUAGCAAACAGGAUUAGAAACCCCGGUAGUCC
rnacentral:rRNA from 1 species